CCUACGGGAGGCAGCAGUGGGGAAUAUUGCGCAAUGGGCGAAAGCCUGACGCAGCGACGCCGCGUGAGGGAUGAAGGUCUUCGGAUCGUAAACCUCUGUCAGCAGGGAAGAAAGGUCACUGUGCUAAUCAGCAGUGAAUUGACGGUACCUGCAAAGGAAGCACCGGCUAACUCCGUGCCAGCCGCCGCGGUAAUACGGAGGGUGCGAGCGUUAAUCGGAAUUACUGGGCGUAAAGCGCUCGUAGGCGGUAUGUCAAGUCAAGGGUGAAAUCCCCGCGCUCAACGUGGGAACUGCCUUUGAAACUGGCAAACUGGAGUGUGGGAGAGGAUAGUGGAAUUCCAGGUGUAGGAGUGAAAUCCGUAGAUAUCUGGAGGAACAUCAGUGGCGAAGGCGACUAUCUGGCACAUAACUGACGCUGAGGAGCGAAAGCGUGGGUAGCAAACAGGAUUAGAUACCCCAGUAGUC
rnacentral:rRNA from 1 species